CCUCGGGGGGCUGCAGUGGGGAAUAUUGGACAAUGGGCGAAAGCCUGAUCCAGCCAUGCCGCGUGUGUGAAGAAGGCCUUCGGGUUGUAAAGCACUUUCAGUGGGGAAGAAAGCCUUGGGGCUAAUACCCUCGAGGAAGGACAUCACCCACAGAAGAAGCACCGGCUAACUCCGUGCCAGCAGCCGCGGUAAUACGGAGGGUGCGAGCGUUAAUCGGAAUUACUGGGCGUAAAGCGCGCGUAGGCGGUCUGAUAAGCCGGUUGUGAAAGCCCCGGGCUCAACCUGGGAACGGCAUCCGGAACUGUCAGGCUAGAGUGCAGGAGAGGAAGGUAGAAUUCCCGGUGUAGCAGUGAAAUGCGUAGAGAUCGGGAGGAAUACCAGUGGCGAAGGCGGCCUUCUGGACUGACACUGACGCUGAGGUGCGAAAGCGUGGGUAGCAAACAGGAUUAGAUACCCCAGUAGUC
rnacentral:rRNA from 1 species